rnacentral:rRNA from 1 species
UACGUAGGGUGCGAGCGUUGUCCGGAAUUAUUGGGCGUAAAGAGCUCGUAGGCGGUGUGUCACGUCGUUCGUGAAAACCUGCAGCUUAACUGUGGGCGUGCGGUCGAUACGGGCAUCACUGGAGUUCGGCAGGGGAGACUGGAAUUCCUGGUGUAGCGGUGAAAUGCGUAGAUAUUGGGAGGAACACCAGUGGCGAAGGCGGCUCACUGGACCGGAACUGACGCUGAGGCGCGAAAGCGUGGGGAGCAAACAGG